CAGAAUUUAAACUAAUGCAACAUCAUCUUUUGGAGACAAGGUGUGCACUGUUCUGUCUUGCCUUGCUUUGUAUUUGGAGCAAGGAUUUCUCCUCAGUCAACCUCACGUGAAUGAUCUGGAAAGAGCAAUUAGGAACAGAAUAAACAGCAGUAAAUGGUAACUACA
rnacentral:lncRNA from 1 species